rnacentral:rRNA from 1 species
GACGAACGCUGGCGGCGUGCUUAACACAUGCAAGUCGAACGGAAAGGCCUCUUUCGGGGGGUACUCGAGUGGCGAACGGGUGAGUAACACGUGAGUAACCUGCCCUUUACUUUGGGAUAACUUCAGGAAACUGGGGCUAAUACCGGAUAGGAGCUCCUGCUGCAUGGUGGGGGUUGGAAAGUUUCGGCGGUUGGGGAUGGACUCGCGGCUUAUCAGCUUGUUGGUGGGGUAGUGGCUUACCAAGGCUUUGACGGGUAGCCGGCCUGAGAGGGUGACCGGCCACAUUGGGACUGAGAUACGGCCCAGACUCCUACGGGAGGCAGCAGUGGGGAAUAUUGCACAAUGGGUGGAAGCCUGAUGCAGCAACGCCGUGUGCGGGAUGACGGCCUUCGGGUUGGAAACCGCUUUCGCUCAUGACGAAGCUUUGUGUGACGGUAGUGGGUAAAGAAGCACCGGCUAACUACGUG